ACUUUGGCCUGUUCUUCCUUAUAUCCGGCGAUAACUCCUACAUGGAUAGUACAAAUGCAAUCAAUCAGAUUAUGAUAUGAAAACGUUUUUCUGUUUCUUCUUAUAUUUCAGUGGAAAAUCAGUCAAUGGUUUGUUUAUCGAAUUUUAGAGAUAAGAUUUUAUGAUAGCGACGAGAAUAUUUCUAUUAAUGAGUUGGACAUUAAGUCUCUUAACUCUAGCUGGCAUAUAUGUAUUAUAUUAAUGUGUAUAAUUCAAGAACCCAUAUAUUUUUCACCUUUGUAAAGAAGAAUAUUUGAUAUGGGAAGCAAGAUGUUCGAUGAAAGAGAGGAGAUCGUAAAAGGGGCGGAGGUAGCUGACGCUGCUCACGAAUUUAUUAAAAAACUUGUAAACGAUAUGGAACUCAAGUUGAUGAGAGAGGCACCAUAUUAUCCGACGUAUAGAAGUAAACAUGUUGCUACUGGUAGAGCAUUACUCUAGCAACCAUCGACAUCAAUAUUGAAUUUUAAUAAACGAGAGUGCAUUGGAUCGUGUAAUUAGAAGAGCGGUUCAAGAUGCAGAUAGAAUUUUAACCAAGGAAGGAACAUCGUUAGCGAUAGUUCAUGUAUGCAUUAUGUGAUUGGGAAUACCUAGGAAGAGGAAAAAGAAGAAAAAACAUUUGUGCUUGACGACGAAGUUUGGAAAGACCAUUAGGGCGUUAGUUUAAAAAGCGUCGGAAGGUAGUACGAGGAAAUGGGAGGGAUUUACUUCUUCCAAAGGGUCCAAACGUAAGCGGCUUUAGUUGGAGGGUAUACGCGAUUGUACGUAGAAUGAUUUUUUAAGGGAUCGUACGAUGUUCCAUGCGGGUCAUGGAUCGAAGGGGAAUGGAAAUGAAACUGAGGGAGGUUUAUCAUACAAAAUAAUUUAACAUACAGGGACGAUUAAAAGAUUCAAAAUUUUUGGAAAUAAUAACGAUAGCAGGAGUAUACUUUUAAAUUAUACGUGAAAUAAAAAGUCCACGUUCGCAUCAUCGUUAUUCCAUCGAUAUAAAUUAAGUAACAGUUCGCUAUAAUUAAAAAAGGAGAAAUGUUGAAUCCCAUGUUUCAAAUUGUUUGUCAUCAUAUUCACGACAUGUAGUUAAAAAAUAUUCGUAAUAUUUUAUUAGCGUUUUUCAUAAAUAUUAUAUAUAUACACACGGUGAGAUGAACGUACCCUGAAUAUUUAACGCAAAAUUUAAGUCUCCCGAGCUAACAGCACAAUUUCAAUAGGAAACUUCAGUGAAACACGGAUUUCCCAAACAGUAGCAGUGCAAACACUCGAUCCGCCCAAAUCACUCUCUAACUGUGUGGUUCUCUCGAAGAGGAAAUACGUGAAACAGAGGAUGGUGAGAUGAGGAAAUAAAGAAAUAUGACAAGAGAUUUUCUCCGAAUACAUUUUUUCUAUUAUCGUGCAAUAAUGGAAAUGAAUUCUAGGAUAACUUAAACAAUAUAUAUUUGUUUACGAGAUAAGAAGGUGAUAUUUGAAGAAAAUGUAUUUAAGGAAUAUUGAAGUAGAUGUAACUUCCGACGAAAAAAUGUUUUAACAACCAAAUAUUUUAUAAUAAGAAUUAUAUAGUAUGAAAAUUGUAAUACCCGUAAUAUGAAAUAAUAUUAGAACACUAUUUUUAAGUAUGACUUAAACUUACGAAAGAAGAAACAUUACAUAUUUCGUAUAUGAUAUUACCAUUACUUUCUAGAAAUUAACGUUGAUAAUUACAAUAAUUAUUAUUUUUGAUGUUAUUAUUAAAAUAAUUUGAAAUUAUUAAUACAAAAAUCAUUAAUAAUAAUUACUUAUAUUAUAUAUAAUUACAGUUUUACUUGCAUAUUGCAAUUAAAAAAGAGAAAAGUAACUGUCAAUUUCGUUAGAAGAUUUCAAGUUUUAUGAAAUAAUUUUUCAAGUGCAUAAAGGAAAUAAAAAUAUAACUACAUAGUUACAGGCGAGGGGAAAUUAUUCAUCCCCAAACUAGAAAAUUAAUAUCUAGGAAUCUUGGUCUUCUAACGAGACGACGUGGGAUUAACUAAUCCAGGGGAAGUCAUUCCUUCCGUGAUUUUCGACCCAGUAAUACGCAAGUGUGUGUCAUACGCGAAAUAAUCCCUAGCUACCAUACUUCCGAAAGAACAGCUUUACAAAUAACAAAGACGGUUUAAACACCAUUAUCUCUAGUCAUUCCAUUAUUCCAUCAAUCUUCUUCAAAAUUUAGCAGUAGCUAUUUGCAUAAGAUUUAUUAGAAAAUAACAUUUCCAUAUUAUAGAAAUUACCGGAUAAUUACUCCAAUUUGGGUUUAAUACCAUUUCGAAUAUUUGUGAUAAAUUCACUUGUAAAUAAAAAUACUUUCUUCGACUGUAUAAAAUCUUCGAAGAUAUUCAAUAAAUUAUUAUAAGGUAUAUA